rnacentral:rRNA from 1 species
GACAGAGGUCCCGAGCGUUAGGCGGAAUCACUGGGCGUAAAGCGCACGUAGGCGGGUUGUUAAGUCGGGGGUGAAAUCCUGGAGCUCAACUCCAGAACUGCCUUCGAUACUGGCGACCUUGAGUCCGGGAGAGGUGAGUGGAACUCCGAGUGUAGAGGUGAAAUUCGUAGAUAUUCGGAAGAACACCAGUGGCGAAGGCGGCUCACUGGCCCGGUACUGACGCUGAGGUGCGAAAGCGUGGGGAGCAAACAGG